CCUACGGGAGGCAGCAGUGGGGAAUAUUGCACAAUGGGGGAAACCCUGAUGCAGCGACGCCGCGUGAGUGAAGAAGUAUUUCGGUAUGUAAAGCUCUAUCAGCAGGGAAGAGAAUGACGGUACCUGAGUAAGAAGCCCCGGCUAACUACGUGCCAGCAGCCGCGGUAAUACGUAGGGGGCAAGCGUUAUCCGGAUUUACUGGGUGUAAAGGGAGCGUAGACGGCGCAGAAAGUCUGAAGUGAAAGCCCGCGGCUCAACCGCGGAACUGCUUUGGAAACUGUUUUGCUGGAGUACCGGAGAGGUAAGCGGAAUUCCUGGUGUAGCGGUGAAAUGCGUAGAUAUUAGGAGGAACACCAGUGGCGAAGGCGGCUUACUGGACGGUAACUGACGUUGAGGCUCGAAAGCGUGGGGAGCAAACAGGAUUAGAUACCCCUGUAGUC
rnacentral:rRNA from 1 species